rnacentral:lncRNA from 1 species
CGAUUUUCUUGAACUUCAGCGGAUAAUUAUGUGAUUUUCUUGAAAUUCAGCUGAUAAUUAUGUGAUUUUCUUGAAAUUCAGUUGAUAAUAUUGUGAUUUUCUUGAACUAGCUGAUAAUGAUGUCGUUUUCUUGAACUCCAGCUGUGGUUUUCUUGAACCUGAACUGAUAAUAUUGCGAUUUUCUUAAACCUCAACCGAUAAUGAUGUGAUUUUCUUGAACUUCUGGUGACAUGAUGUGAUUUUCUUGAAAUUCAGCUGAUAAUGAUGUGAUUUUCUUGAACUUCAGCUGAUAAUGAUGUGAUUUUCUUGAACUUCAGCUGAUAAUAUUGCGAUUGUCUUAAACCUUAACCAUCCUAUAAUAUAGCUGCUGAGUGCUGAAUGUACUGGUAUCAUUGUUACUUCAUUUACUUGUACUUGUGCACUAAUUUCAGGUAGUUGUACAUCCACAUUGGUGAUUAUGGACAAAGACCAGGUAACCUUACUCUCUUGACUCUUCAUCUUGUAUUGUAUGUUUGAGAGUGUAGUGUCUCCUGGUCAAAGGUAUCAAGAAACUUACCUAAGACAUAUAUGAAGGCAGUGGAUGGAAUAAUUAAUAGUAUUUUCAUUGAUUUUUGACAGCCUUUCUGUUUAUUAUUGUGUUAUUGGACAUGGAAGUGUCUGUCUGCGGUACUGCCUUUUAGAUAAAAACUUGCUGGGUUUUGUAUGAUUGCAGAGUCAAAACCAAAGAGGUUUGUGUAUUUCAAAAUUCAUUCAUCCAUUCUUCUGUUGGUUCAAUCUAGCAAUAUGUGACUUUGCUAAUCCAUGUUCUGAACAUACCUUUCCUUUGAUUCUUCUCAAUGUGGGGGUUCAUCUCCUGGUAUUCAAGUCUUUGUUCCACCUCUGACUAAUUCUGAUGCGAAGAUUGUGUCCUUGAGGAUAUUUCAUAUCCUUCAGUGCCAAAGCACACCUUUCAGGCUUUUCAGGUUCUUCGUGCAUAUUGGUGAUGUUUUAUGUCAAGAAACCUGUUUCUCUUUUCUCUCAGUUCCCUAUCUACUGCAUAAAAUUCUAAAAUCUUGAUGCAAUUUCUUAAUCGGUGAUGGUAAUGGUAUGUUUCUUGAAAUUAUUCCAUGUUUCUCUUCAUCCAUCACGUUCAUCUUCUUUCUAUUUAAUACUCCAUUUUGUUGAUAAAUGAUAAUAGUCCAUUUUGAACAGAUGUUUACAUCGAAGAAAGAAGAUGCCAAAAUAGAAAAAGUAAUUCGACUUCCUGCAAAUCGAAGAUGCAUCAACUGCAAUGUCUUGGUAAUAUUUUCUGUAUUCAUGAACCUCAACUUACCCUAGAAUUUGUGAAAUAUAUAUAAUUUUGUUUAAAUUGAAUCAGGGACUACAAUAUGUGUGUACAACUUUCAACACCUUUGUCUGCAUAAAUUGCAGUGGAAUACAGUAUGCAUUACAAAUCUCAACUUCUUCUAUAUAUGUUUUAUAUGCAUUACAAAGUGACAUCGUUUUACUACAAGGUUUUAGCAAUAGGUUCCUCUUUUCUUUUGUUUUUGUCAAUUUGUGUCACUAAUCGUAAUUGAUGAUAGAAACUGGAUCAUGACGGGUAGAAUUAUGUCGCUGAUGAAAUUUUUAGCACAAAGUACAUGUAAGCUCUUUUUUUAAAGGUGGGGAUGUUGGUGCUGUUAGACUUGCAAGUAAAUUUCCCUCUAUCCUUUGUGGAUUCCUCCUAUUAUUCUUAUCCAUAAGCACAACAUUUAUUUUAAUGCAGAAUAAUGAGCAAAUUAUUUUGUUUUGCAGCUAGAAUAAAAACUGCAGAAAAUGCAGAAUAAGCUAGAGAGUCUAAUAUGGGAUCAGAAGGAACUUCAAGAACGUUUCCAAAUGGUUGUUAAAGAACACAAAAUGAUGGAGUUGCUACUAACGGAGCUUGAAGAGGAGCAUGAUAUGGCCAUUGCAAAAAUUGAAAAAUUACAGACAAAGGUAAAUUAUUUUGUAUUCGUGUGCAUACCUUGUACUAUCUUCUUAUAUAUCUAUUGAACUAUUAACAUGAUCUGAAUGUUGGAAGUUAUCACUUGCUUCAUGCCACCUGUGAAAAGUCUUCUAGUGUUGAGGUCACGUAUGAUAUUUUGCUGCAAGAAGGACGGCUUGUUAAAUUCCCUACUUCAUUUACUUGUACUUGUGCACUAAUUUCAGGUAGUUGUACAUCCACAUUGGUGAUUAUGGACAAAGACCAGGUAACCUUACUCUCUUGACUCUUCAUCUUGUAUUAAGUUUACAUUAAUUUAUAGACUAGCUUCUGGUUGACAUUAUAGGUUGCCAAACUGAUAAACAAUGAACAAUAUGUUUAGUAGAAAUUAUAAUCAGAACUACUGUCUUUUUCUUGCCAGAAAUUGAAGUCAGUAUUCACAAGUAUUAUUCGUCUGGUGGACUUGGGGAAUUAAUAAGGAGAAAUCCAAGAUCAACCAAUCUCUUCCAAAAGCAAUAUGAUUUAUUAGUAGAAACUGUUACCCAUAUUUCUGUCAUUUUUCUGAAGUUGGCAUCAGCUCCAUGGGAUUGAAAACUUGUCCUGAAACUUGCUGAAGAUGCCAUGCGUUCAAGAUAUGACCAAAGAUUAUGAAAAAUAGAUGUUGGGUAACAUUUUCUUGAAUAUGCUAAAAUUAUUUGUUUUUGUUUGUUUCCUACCGAUUCUGGUUACCUUUACUAUCAUUGUUUUGCCCAGUUUUCUGCUUGCUUUGUCAGGUAGAAUUUAAGUUUCUGUAAUUGCUUCCAUGUACAGGAAGGUUUUCUUGAUAUUGUGCUUUUUUUCUUAGCACACAAGAAUUGAGUUAUGGAAUGUGAUGGUAAUGGUAUGUUUCUUGAAAUUAUUCCAUGUUUCUCUUCAUCCAUCACGUUCAUCUUCUUUCUAUUUAAUACUCCAUUUUGUUGAUAAAUGAUAAUAGUCCAUUUUGAACAGAUGUUUACAUCGAAGAAAGAAGAUGCCAAAAUCGAAAAAGUAAUUCGACUUCCUGCAAAUUGAAGAUGCAUCAACUGCAAUGUCUUGGUAACAUUUUCUGUAUUCAUGAACCUCAACUUACCCUAGAAUUUGUGAAAUAUAGAUAAUUUUGUUUAAAUUGAAUCAGGGACUACAAUAUGUGUGUACAACUUUCAACACCUUUGUCUGCAUAAAUUGCAGUGGAAUACAGUAUGCAUUACAAAUCUCAACUUCUUCUAUAUAUGUUUUAUAUGCAUUACAAAGUGACAUCGUUUUACUACAAGGUUUUAGCAAUAGGUUCCUCUUUUCUUUUGUUUUUGUCAAUUUGUGUCACUAAUCGUAAUUGAUGAUAGUUACAUCAUCACGUGUUUUUCCUUCUAAUUUCUCUCAAUUUUUUAUCUCAUCCAAGAAACCUGUCUCUCUUUUCUCUCAGUUCUCUAUCUACUGCAUGAAAUCCUAAAAUCAUGAUGCAAUUUCUUACUCUGUGAUGGUAAAGAAACAUAUUAUGCCAUGUUGCUUAAGCUAAUAAUGAAACAUGAAAUAGAGAAUGAAAGAGAGAGGUUUUUGUAGUGUUUCCAAUCCUUUUCUCUCUCAAUUUUCAUUAUUCUGCAUGAAUUCCUAAAAUUCUCGAGGCAAAUUCUCAUUAUCUGAUAAUGACGUGAUAUUCUUGAAUUUCAGCUGAUAACGAAAUGCGAGAAAGAGAUAGAUUUUGAAUUAUUCAUGCCUUACAGAUAAGCAAUGCUGCUGAGAUCUGUUCAUAAGAGUUAUGAUGUAUAAAUUUUAAUUAGCAAUACUUUUUAACUACAAUUUUCUUCAUAUUUAUCGUGAUACUUAAUGUCUUGUACUCUUUUUUAACACAUCUAUUCUCUUGUUGUUCAGGAUACCCACUUGAUAAUGUUAGGCAUUUGAUAAAGGAUUGAGAUUGGCCACUGACAAUUACAAUAUGAGCAAUAAGAUUGGGCGAGAAGGUUUUGGAACUGUUUUCCGGGUACACCUCACAGUUCUUGUAUAAGUUGUAAACUUUUGGGAUUAAUAUGUAUGUUAGCCAGUUGAACUUGCCAAAAUGAUUCUUUAGAGGAGUUUAUGAUAGUAGACCGACUAAUAUUUGUUACUUUUAUUUUUCUUCCUAUCUUUCUGUGAUUCUGAGUUAAGAUUGUUCAGAGUUUUGGGUGAUGUUUUUCUGAUUUAGGUGCAGGGAAUGCUUCAAUUGUAUGAGAUAAAUUCUAAAAUGAAAAUUUGUUCAUCUCCACUUUAUACCCCCUCCCCACACCAGGUCAUAUUCCUUUGGGACAACAUAAAAGUUGGUGGGCUAUAAAAGUUGAAAUGACAAUGCUAGGCAAAGCAGGGACACCCACCCCACUUGUUACACCAACUUUUCUAUUCUUCUUUUGCAUAUCACUAACUUCUUUAGCAUAAAGUUGAGCAAAAAUUAAAAAAAGUGAUCCCUUUGAUUUCUCUGCUAUGUUAAUAUCUUUUGCAACUAAAGACAAUAUCAUUGGAUGAUAAUAUUGCGAUUUUCUUGAACUUCAGCUGAUAAUGAUGUGGUUUUCUUGAACCUGAACAGAUAAUAUUGCGAUUUUCUUAAACCUCAACUGAUAAUGAUGUGAUUUUCUUGAACUUCUGGUGGCAUGAUGUGAUUUUCUUGAACUUCUGUUGAUAAUGAUGUGAUUUUCUUGAACUUCAGCUGAUAAUAUUGCAAUUUUCUUAAACCUCAACUGAUAGGAUGAGUAUUGCAUGCAAGAUGAAUGGUUG